UUGCACUGACGGUGUAAUAAAAAUACAAUGAUAAGUGAUCACAUUUAUACGGAUGGACAUUGGUCUGAAUGGAUGUCGUUGUUUUUAUCUCAGUAUUUGCAUGUUUAGUUAAAGCAGUAUUUUCUGAUCAAUAUCCUGAAAUAAGAAGUACAGUUGGCGAUUCUGUUAUCCUGUUAUUCCAUGCCGGAGUAUACCAGGAAACAGAAUAAUUCAGUGGCUAAAUCUGAAUGGAAACAGGGAUACAUCUUCAGGAAUAAGUAUAACAUAUACAGAUGGCUGGAGAAAAAAUAAUAAAUUACCAUUCCAUCAAAGACUUCGAAUUAUUGGAGAAGAAGGUUGACAAAAAUAUGAUUUAGAAAUUUCAAACAGUAGUUUCCAAGAUGCGGGGUUUUAUUGCUGUACUGUUGACACUGUUAAUGAUACCUUGUAUAAUUACAUCAGGUUGACUGUAAAAGGUACAAAUAUAUUUAUCAGGUAGAAAUUCAUAACAAUCUACGUUAAUAGGGUAAUCGGAAGUUAAAUUCAGAGGAAGAUACACAACUCACAACGAAACAAUUCAUAAGCAGUACAAGACAGAUGUACGGACACAUAUGAAUAGAUUAUUAUAACUUCUACUUGAACAUAACAGCUGCGAGUCGGUCAGGUUACUCAUGUCAUUUUGCUUAAUAAAAUUUAACUUAAAAACAUUUCGAGGCGGGGGGUAAUUUACAGUAUCGAUACAAUGAAAAGUUGAUUUUAACCUUAUCGUGAUAACGCUGGAUAAAACCGUACGAAGUCGUUGAGAACAGGGGUACAUGCAUUAUAUGUUCUUAUAACAAACUUUAACACGAAAGGUGUGCAAAAGUUGCGGCAAAGUAAAUGGACAAUGUCUACACAGACGAGACAAAAUCAUCGUCAUGGACAUGAGAUGUGUCCAUGAUAAUGCAAUUGCAUACCGCAUACCUUUCACUAACCAUAAGUGGUUCCCUUUUAAUCGACCAAUAUAAGUUACAAACUUUGUUUUGCAUUUUUGCGCCUGUCCCAAGUCAGGAGCCUCUGGCCUUUGUUAGUCUUGUAUGUUUUUUUUAAAUUUUAGUUCAUUUAUAUGUUUCGGAGUUUAGUGUGACUGAACUUGUACACAUUUUUUUAGGGGCCAAUUGAAGCCCGCCUCCGGGUGCGGCAUUUUCUCGCUCUGUUGAAGACCCAUUGGUGGCCUUAGGCUGUUUUCUGCUCUUUAGCCUGGUUGGUGUCUCUUUGACACAUUCCCCAUUUCCAUUCUCAAUUUUAUUUAAGAUGUUAAAUAUGCCAAAAACAUCAAAGUCAAGAUAUACUGACUUAGCGGGCGAGGCCUAAAAAUCUAAAUGAGAAUGAGAAGUGAAAAUUUUAAUACCUUGCUUAUCAAAUAUCAUUAACUAACCAUACGUGGUUCCCCUUAAACUGAUCUAAGCACAAACUUUAAUACGUAAACUGUAUGUAAAAUGCAGUUGACAUAACUGAGGGACUGGGUCAAAUUCUUGCCUGUGCUAAUACGACUGCAUAGUAACUAAUGUAAGUGACUUACCUUCAGUGGUUCUCCUUAAAAUGACAUAAUCACUAUAUAUAUAAGAAUAAAAAGAUGCGGUAUGAUUGCCAAUGAGACAACUCUCCACCAGAGACCAAAUGACGUAGAAGUUAACAACUAUAAGUCAUAGUACUACAAAUGAGAAAACUAACGACCUGAUUUAUGAAAAAAAAACAAAACCGAAAAACAAAUAUGAUAUAUACAGCAACAAACGACAACCAUUUAAUUACAGGCUCCUUAUCUGGGACAGGUAACAUACUAAACUUCAGACAGAAUGCUAAUUUAUAAUUUAUAAAAUGUCUGAUGGUUAUCUUUUUCGUUUAUUGUAUUGAUUGUAUAAACCUGGCAGUCAUACCAACUUCUUUUUUAAUGUAUGCUUCGUAUUAUUAGAUAUUUGGACAGACAAAGUAAGUGUUUUUGUAACAAAUGUUAAGUCCUCAAUAGUAAACAGUUGAUUGAUAAACAUUUGCUAUUAAAUGUUAAUAUCUUUCUGAAAAUUAUCAGUAUGCAAUAAGAUGUAAAUUCACAACGGUCAUCGCAUUUAUUGUAAUGCGCUGACUUAUUUUCAUGUCAAUACGUAUACUAAUUUGCAAAGUUAAAUCAUUUCAUUUAAUUCAUUUUACCUACAACAUUUUCAGAAUACAAAUGGACCACUGAACCAAUAAAAAUAGAAACAGCCAGCAGUGGCGACGAGAAGCCGGUGAAAGUGUCAUCUGAGAGCACUGUAAAUGUAGAUGUGGUAUCUGAUAUAAUGAUCAGUGAUGAAACAUCUACGAGUACUGACUAUUUCAAAGUUUAUAUAAUGAAAUGUAAAAAUGUAUGAUACCGAUUCUGUGCUCAUGACACGUGUUCCUGGAAUAACAUAUAAUGAGUACGCUGGAGACUAAAAGUUUUAAACAGUCAAUUUCUUCUUAGCUAGGGUGUAUGUAACCGUAAUCACUCAGAUUAAAACGCAGACCAUGUGUCCUCGCUUCGUUCACAAGGCAUUAAAACGUGGGUAGUUUUUAAUCAGAUUGCAACCAUAGUCAUGUUAACACAUCUACACCAUUUAUGGACUAAACAAAAUCAAAAAUAUAAAAAAGCUAAUGUACCCUUGUGUAUAUCUAAAACAGGCUUUCACAGUUUCAUCCACGAAUCCCGAAUAAGAUAAAUCUCAAAUAUUGAUAUUUGAGAGGACAGCAAUAUUUUUAUUGACAUUUGCAAAUGAUAUUAAAGAAAAUUCUUUUUAUUACCAACUUAACAUCAUAGAGUUUAGGUGAAUUAUCGAUUAACUAUGUUUCAUACGAAUUGUAUAAAUAAUGAGAAGAUUAUGCCAAGCAUUAUCAUGACGAUUUUGAAAAUGAGAAGAAUAGAGUAUAUUAUAAAGAAGAUAUGAAAAUAUAUAGGUUGGAUUUGUGCGAAAUAUUCGGUUACAUAUUUUAUAGCGACAAUAUAAAAAGCAAAGUACAUUCUAUACUCGUUCUGAAUAUGCAUGACCUAUUUGCCACUAUACGUUUAGCAAGUAACAAUGAACCAUUUCUAUAAUAUCUUAUAACUUUUUUGUAGUAUCAAUAAUCGGAAGAGACAAAGACUUUUACUCUAGGCUUUACGAAAUAUAAACAACUAAUAUUUUGCUAAUUUUUACAGGUUUUGCAAGUCUACAAAUAUACAUAAUUGCUGCCAUUACCUCUGGAAUAAUCAUUUUUGUUGGGAUUGUAGCAUUUGUAAUUUUUCAAGCACAAAGCAGAUAUGUAGAUGCUAUCAAAAUAAAGCAUUCGAAUGAUGCGGAUCGGGGAUCUACAAACGGGACACACUUAAAAGAAAACAAUAACGAAAACACCGAAAGCAGCCCGCGUCCUCAACGUAAUCCAACUACAGUUGAAAGGCUUUCAAACAAUGAGCAUUCGGGGAAUGGUUUUAACCGAAAAAAUACCCAAAGUUCAGUGGAAUUGCCUGAAAUCAUGGAGCAUACUUCCAAUAAUGCACAUUCACUUAUAACUAUUGAUACGUCCAGUAGUUACCAACCAUUAUCUGGAGAUUGGCAGAUCAGCUCGCACAAUUACGACGGAUGUAUUCCAAAGACAUACGACCAAAUUUCCAGUGAAGAAAACCUGGACGACAGACCACACGUUUAUGAUGAGUGUGCGUCAGUUAAUGUGUACGAAGCUUUAAUGAAAGAACAAACUGAUAUAGUGAACGAUCACAUUUACCUUUAAAGUACUUCUAACUGAGAUAUUGACUGUUACCAUAUGAACGAGUCAGUAAAGCAAAGUGGGAAGGAGAAUGUUUUUUAUUACCAUUAGCAUUCUAACCUUAUGAAAGGAUCCAAAAACUCGAGACAGAUGUAGUUAAGGAAAUGUCAUUGCACAUGGAAUAUUUUAUCUACAAAGCAACAAAUACGAUAAGAGUUUAUUUGUUAAUCCUGCAGCUUACCCAAAUGAUUAACAAAGUUGACCUUUAUGUCAAAAUAUUCCAUAUUAAUAGACACUUUUCAUUUUUGGCGAAAUUUGGAAAUAUUUUGGCAGUAUUUUUGUGUAUGACACACCAUGAUUACUUAAGCGCGACAUGUAUUUCUGCAAUUUUAAUAUCUUCAGAUUGCGCUCUUUGAAUUCCGCUUGUAAAAUAAAAAAGAAAAAUUAUUAAAGUUACAAAUAACAGACAAGCACAAGACAAAGUAUGGCCUAUUGCGUGCCCGAAGUCCUCAACGAAAGAUAAAUGUUUUGAAUUUGGAUUUUGGUCUGAUCUUAUCUAGUACGUUAUCAAAAAGUAGUUACUUUCUUUAUUGACGUUUCUGAAAAGAAUUACUUGAAUCAUAAUGCGACAAUUUCAUUGUGCAAUGAAUAUUAUAUUCUUGUACAUUUAAAUUACAGUUGUUCAAUAUGGGAAAACAGCAGCAAAAUUUUAAGUAACUGUUAAUUACAAAAAGGCAGCUAGAACUGUUUUAAACGAAUAUGAUAUUAGAAAACCAUCUGGAAUUAUUCCUGCACAACUAGUCAUAAUUGACGCACAAAUAAAAAAAAUUAACUAGUACUGAAAUAUUUGUCAAAUAUUAUUGUGACUACAAACUGCAAGGUAUUAAAAUACUCCAAUUUUUAUCAUCAGAUAUUAUUUCAUUGUUCUUAAUUCAAAUACAUACUUCUACAAAAAAAUGGUACAAAAGUGUGGAAUUCACUAUUGUGUGAAGUUAAAAAAAUCAAAAACUGUAUCUGCCUUUUAAUUUUCAAGUCAUUAUAUUUUUAACAGUGAUAAUGUUUAUCAUAUAUGAACUUUUAAGACUAUAGGAAUUCCAUUUUUUUUGGUCAUGUAAAGUCAUGUAUAUAUACAUGUAUUGUUUAACAUUGUGUAUUGGUAGAUUGAUUAUGUUUUAUUAUUAAGUCGCCAAAACGGAGUUUUGGAGACUUUAUGUUUUUGUCCCGUUUCUUAUUAUAGCACCCUCAACGGAGUUGGUGUGACAUAUUGUU